UUACGCCCAUAUCACAUUGAAACACCGAUUGCCAUAAGAUUACCGCAGUUAAGCAACCUUGAGCCUGGUCAGUGUCUAGAUGGGUGGACGCUUGGAAAUAGCAGGUGCUGUAUG